rnacentral:lncRNA from 12 species
UAUUUACAGAUUAGAAGGCAGAAAUUCUAAGACUGUUAACAGUUGUCAUUGCCUACCAAACUCAUGGAUUUCCAUCAGCAGUUUCUAAAAUUUAUGCUAAUAAGAUUAAUAUCCUGGAUUUAAUGAAACAGUGUCUAUAGAGAGAUCUGAGAUCUGGCAUAAGAUCUGAGAAAUAGGUCCCUGUACUUUUGGAAAUUCUAAGGAUCUCCUUUCAACACCAGUAUUUUCUGUGGUUACAGAAGCAUCUUCAGUCAGUUGUCACAAGAGUCUGACAUCUGUUUUUCUUGAAAAAUACUUUACUACUCCUGAAGGAGGAAGCUGUCCUAUUACACAGUAAGCCAUAUUUUGAUAAGGCCCUCAGUGCUAAAUUGAAGAGAAACAGAGAUCACAGGAGGUUGUCAAUUUGGUUCGAGUUUUCAUCAGAGUUGGAUUAACAGCUGGAAGAAGAGUUGUCUCAUCUAAACAUUCACCAGGGGGCAAUGAGAAAAAUCUAUUAAAUUUGACAUAGGACAAUGACCUGCAGAAGGAGAUAUCAGGGAAAGCAAAUAAUCUGACUGAUGGGAAUAUUUAAAGGUUAACAUUCAG